UCAGAGACAGGCAGAGGCAGGCACAGACAGCCCCAGAGCACCCGAGGGGAGCCCCAUGAUGUUGUGUCUGGUGCUCAGGCGUCAGUAUCUGUCUAACACACACGCUGACUCAAAUAUGCAGACACACAGAUGCAUGGGGCACACAUGCAUAGUCACACACACUCACGUACAUACAGAACGCCUGGGCUAAGGCUGAUGGAUGGCUGAGUCUAACAAUCUCCCCUCGACCUUGGACAGCAUGAUCACACUCUGGGACUACUCACUGGCUGUCAGCCAGGGGCUGUGCAGGCGCGGGGAACCAGCCGGAGCGACUGGCCACCAGACGGGCGGUCCCAGGAUUCCACACCAUAUCCCUGCUGGAGGAGGCUGAGAUCUGAGCAUCGGGCAGCAGGCCGGACAGCAGGCCCUGCAGGUCUGAACACGGAGCAUCUGGAGUGGAAGAGAGGCCAGAGAUAUAGUAAUGUUAACCUUCACCUCGGGAGGGUUGAUGGAGAAGUUUCAAUGAUGACCUAACGUACACUCUCAUGCUGUUACACACAUUCCCACCUGGGAGCUGUUAAGCUGCACCACAGGAUUGCACUACUGGCCACUAAGCAUUAAGAGUUUAGACGGGAGCAAAUAGGAGAGGGAGAGGUGGGAGGCUGAGGAGCGUAAAGAGAUGUGUAGCGCAGCACUAUUGCUUCAUGUUGAAUAUGCAAUUAGACUUCCAUUAGUCAGAUAAAAGCAUAUGUUAACUUUGCUGCUGAAUAGGCACAUGUCCCUGCUUGGCAUCCAUACACUUCACAUAUCAAUAUCUUAUUUCACUGUAUUGUAUCUUUAUAGUCUAUACAAUAGCUUGUGUGUUCACUGUGCUGCACACAUUUUAUGUAUAUUCACUGAUUGAGGGAAACUUCCAAGUACACGUAAAAGCACUUGGAAAUAACUCAUUCAGAUAUGGAUGGGAGAGUAGCAUUGAAAGUAACUUGCUUAGGGAGUGUGUGAGAGGGAGAAAUGAGGAUUAAGGGGAUAAGAAAGGUAUAAUAUGAGAAGUUGGGAGGCAGAGAAUUACAGAGUGGAAACAAGCGAGAGAAAGACACUCAGAGCUGAAGAUGACGGCUUGGGGAAACUGGGAGGAGAAGAUGUGGAGAUGAGACUCCUACAGAGAGAAACAGUGGGAGAGGGAAGGAUAGAGUAGGAUGAGCGAGAGACUAGGGGUGGUGGGUGAGGGUGGUGAGAGGUGGGGAGAGCUUGAGAGACACGGAAGAAGACAGAAAGGGCAGGAGGAAGGGAGAUGGGGAGAUGUUAGUUGUGCUGACGGUUUAAGAGAACACAGAUCAAAGUUUCAUGCUGUUAUGUCACUGCAAAAGCAGGAGAUGUAAAUAAUAAAUAAAAGGCACUGGAAGUGUA